rnacentral:rRNA from 1 species
UGGGGAAUCUUGCGCAAUGGGCGAAAGCCUGACGCAGCAACGCCGCGUGCGGGAUGAAGGCUCUCGGGUCGUAAACCGCUUUCAGUAGGGACGAAACUGACUGUACCUACAGAAGAAGCCCCGGCUAAAUACGUGCCAGCAGCCGCGGUAAUACGUAUGGGGCAAGCGUUAUCCGGAUUCAUUGGGCGUAAAGAGCGCGUAGGCGGCUUGUUAAGUCAGAUGUGAAAACUGGGGGCUCAACCCGCAGCGUGCAUCUGAAACUGGCAGGCUUGAGUCUGGUAGAGGAAAGUGGAAUUCCCAGUGUAGCGGUGAAAUGCGCAGAUAUUGGGAGGAACACCAGUGGCGAAGGCGGCUUUCUGGGCCACGACUGACGCUGAGGCGCGAAAGCUAGGGGAGCAAACAGG